GUGCUCACUUCGGCAGCACAUGUACUAAAACUGGAACAAUACAGAUAAGAUUAGCAUGGCCUCUGUGCAAGGAUGACACAAAUUCAUGAAGCAUUCCAUAUUAAA
rnacentral:snRNA from 1 species